GAGCACUUCCCGUUCUUGCAAAGGACCAGAGUUUGCUUCCCAGCACCCACCUGGCAGCUCAUAAUCGCCUCCUGUUUCAGGUCAUUAGUGUCUUCUGCCUUCCUAAGGCACCGGGCAAGUGAGUGGUGUACAUAUAUACAUACACUCAGGCGAAACACUCAUACACGUAAAAUAUCGACAAAUAAAACAUUAAAAACGGGAGAAAGCUAACUGAGAGGAUCUCCGGUCUCUCUCAGCUUCCUUCACACAGACACAGCAUGAGCUGCCACCUCACACCCUCCUGGACAUGACACUUGCCUGCCGUGAUGGACUGUCCUUCAAACUGUGAGCCGAAACAAGCCCUUUCCCUCCAGAAGUUGCUUUCAUCUCAACAGGAAGAAAAAAGUCAGGACCACAGUGGCCAUCAUAGGAAGAAAUGAUGGGGAUGCAACAGGCGUCCCUAUGUAGCCUCCUGACUUAAAGUAAGCGAUAAAGCAAUGAGCUCUCCGCAGGACCCUCUGAGACAGGCAAGGCAGCUGUAGAAACAGCAGUGUCGCUUUGGCGGGGGGUAAACAAAUCGCAAGGAGGGAAAUGAGGGUCUGAAAAGGAAAAUUUAAAGGCCAGGCUUUCACUUCUGUGCUCUGGGCUGACAGGAGUGACUGUGUUCAGCGGCCAGAUGUUUGCAAAUCCAGAAUCUUGACGAGAACAGUGCCACCCGACUGUCAUUUCACAUUCGUGCAGGAGAAAUGCCAGUGACAGCAUCUGAAAUGUGUUGGGUGGGCGCCUAUUAUUUGCUUUACACACCUAAUCUAAUCCCUAAUUCCUAUUGAUGCUGACCAGUUUGAUGUUCUUAGCCUCGUGUGUCUGAGGAACACACUUAGGGAUGCUGAUGCCUUUGCCUCCGGAGCUGUAACUGGUGGGCUGUUGGGAAGGUGUGCAAACAGUGGUGUCACAUUGUGCUUUCCCUUUGGGGUAUGUGGCCUUGUGUCAUACAGUGGUGACAUUGUCUCAGUUUCGGUGUUGACAAAAGCAGUAAUGUGAGCCAGCUUCUUUAGGUGCCUCCCCCCUCUGACUAUUCACACUGGCACUCAACUGCUCUGGCUUUUACGCUCAGCUCCCUGAUAGGGUCUGGCUGUGUACAUUAGGCUUGCCUUGAACUCGCACCUCUGCCCCCAACCUCCUGAGUGCCACGACUACAGCACGGUCCCGCCAUGCUUACCUGUCCCAUCACUAAAUUCCCAUCAGGAGUUCUGCAAGAAAGGUCUCAUUUUCUCCUCCCCACAGAGAGGGAAGCGCUCAUAAUCUUGCCAGGAAAUGACGCAGCCAAGUGUCAGAGCCUGGUUUUGUCUCUACCCCAAGGCCGUACCUUCUUUUAUCUUCUAGGUCAGGUCCUGGGGGAGCAUCUCACAGAGGUGGGUGUGUUUGUACAAGACUGACCAUGCUUCCUGGGCGUGGGACUUGCCAUCAGUACCUUUGCAUGAGUCGUUCUGUCUGGGUUUGAAGAGCCCGCCAGUUCUUGCUUCAUACUUUCUCUGGCUUCUUCCAUUCCUGUGCCAGAGACCCUAAAUAUGCAUCUUCUGUUUAUGACUCACCCUGUUUGCCUGUUUUGCUCAUUAUUUUUUUUUAAAAAAAAUAGCUAACAAAACAAACAGAAAGACAACCCACAAAAUAUGAAUGAGCGGCACAUACCCACAGCGUCUCCUGGUUUGUUUUCUUUCCCAUUUUAGAUGCAUUGGAUGGUUAGUAAAAUCUAGCAGAACACAUCUUGGUUUUAGACUGUGGGAGAGAACUGUCACGUUGUCCUGGAUCUUGAACUGUUGCCUAGUCCAUGCCCCUGUUUGAGGUGUCCCCGGAAUGAGGGUGCAGGAAAAGCCAUUAGGAGGAGGAAGAGGAUGAAUUAGAAGGCAGUACAAUGACCCAACACGUAUGAAACACCACAGUGAUACCUGUAACUUUUAUGCUAACAGAAAAUUCUUUAAAAAUGGAAAUAAUGCUGGAUUGUUAUUAAUUCAAUCCUUGGUAAGGAAUUUGGAUUUUAUCUUAUAGUCUUGUUUCUCCUAUCCCAACUCACAGUGGGCCAGGAAUAUUAUUAGCAGGAAUUAGCCUGAUCCUGAGUGUGUGUGUGUGUGUGUGUUUGUGUUGGAAGUGGGUAGGAGGUCAGGCAUGAGCCAGUUAUGUGGUUAGAAUCUCCAACAAGAGGUGCCUAAUUUUUCAAGAAGUCCUUUGGUGGCUUGUGAAACUCACAGGGAUAUGGGAGAUAUUGAAGAGUCAUGGUCCUUGAGUGGGAACACAGAGAAAGAAAGAAUGCUUUUGGAAUGGCUGUGUUCAGGAGUAAGGAGACAUGAAAGGAUUCUUGUCACCUAAGGUCACCGUGGCUGUCAAGGCUGUGUGGUGAACACACACAGAGCAUCCGCUAUUCCUUGCGCCUCCAGUCUUUCCUUGUCAUCCUGCUGACCCAAGUUGGAUCAUAAGCCAGGAGAGAGGGAUAUCAGGAGCCCAAGCUGACCUGGAAUUUGCUUUAUAACCCUUGUACACCUGAGCCUCUUGCCUUCACCUCGCGAGUGCUGGGAUCACAGGUGUGUGCCUCCAUCCAUGUUUUGUGCUGCUGGGAAUUGAACCUUGGGCCUUCCACUUUACUAGGUAAGUACUCUACCAACAUAUUGACAUGUUCAGCUCAAGCUCCGUUUUGCACACAUGAUCCCAUCUUUGCAUCCAGUCCACCAGAGUCUGUGACAUCAACAGAGACUAUAGUGACUCUCUAAGUGAUGGAGGAAAUCCACUCUUUCUGAGGUGAGUAUCUAUUAAAGGAUUGGCUGUCUGCAAGACCUUGCUUUUUCAUGCAGAGGUGAUCUCAAGCCUAGUCUGGAAUGCUGAAUGAAUGUUGGUACAGAAACCAAUGGGAUAUUCUUAAUUCGAAUUUGAUUAAGUCUGCAAAGUGGUCUGAGGACAAACAGUAAUAAAAACAACAAACAAAACAUCAUCAUCAUCAUCAUAAUAAUAAUAAUAAUAACAAUCCCUAAAACUACAUGAAUAUAAUAGUUUUCCAUGGAAAAUCUGUCAGUUUUACUCUUUACUUUGAAAUAUUUCUUCUAAUUUUAACCUAAGAACUGGUUAUGUCAUUGUAUGUCAAAACUUACUGAAGAUGAGGUGAAUCCCUUCACUCAAGGCUCUUUGUGAGCUGACAACUUUCUUUGGGAACAAAAGAAUCUGACAGGCAUCUUAACGACUUCUCACAGAUGCCUUAGUCACCCGCAUGUGCACAUGCCCAGGGCUGCACAGCAUUGCAGGUAAAGGCCAGCUUGUGAGCAGUUCCUUCGGGGUUCAGUACAGUGCCCCCAUUGCAAAGAAGACCACAAAAUCAGUGCCGUCUGUCUGUCUGUCUGUCUGUCUAUCAUAUAUCUAUCUUCGCAUCUAAAUCUAUCUAUCAAUUUAU